CCAAUUUCAUCAAAAUUAUCAUAAUUUCAGAAUGGUAUGAUAAACAAACACAUAUCAACAAUUUAGGACAUACAUAUAAUCCCAAUUUUUUACCCUUAACCAAUAUCAGACCAAUUUGAUCAAUUCUAGCCACCAAUUUGAUCAAUUCUAGCCCUAUCUCAUACCAAUUUUCAGACCUAUUUUAUAUCCAUUUCUGAUCAAUUUAACCAAUUUCAAACCUAAUUCAAACUAAUUUUUGAACAAUCUGUGAGCCAGUACAUGAGAAAUAAACUCAGGCCAAUUCAUACAUAUAUACCCAAUAAUUUUCAGACCCAAACAUAUACAAAAUACAUAGCAACUGUAAAUGACAGAUUUUGCAAUAAUAUAUAACUGAUUUAAAUGACAGUUUCAUCAAAUAUAUCUGUUAAGCUUGAAUUUUAAGAUCUAAUUGCAGUUUUACUAGCUAACCAACCACCAAUUUGAGAAGUGAUCGAUCGGAGGCUCAAACCCAAACAAUGGCAGAAGUGAUUGAUCAGAGGCUCAAAAUGGAUUCAAUCGGCAGGAGUGAUCGACAACGGGAAAGGGAGAGUGAGAGAAUGAGAGUAGAGAGAGGUCAAGAAUGAGAGCUGUGAGGAGAGAGAGCUGAAGGGAGCUGUGAGGAGAGAGAGAG
rnacentral:lncRNA from 1 species